GACGAACGCUGGCGGCGUGCUUAACACAUGCAAGUCAAGGGGACCCGCAAGGGUAACCGGCGAACGGGUGCGUAACACGUGAGCAACCUACCGAGAUCUGGGGGAUAGCCGGCCCAACGGCCGGGUAAUACCGCAUACGCUCUUUCCACGGCAUUGUGGAUUGAGGAAACCUCCCGGGGGAUUUCGAGGGGCGUCGCGGCCUAUCAGCUAGUUGGCGAGGUCACGGCUCACCAAGGCGACGACGGGAGCUGGUCUGAGAGGAUGGCCAGCCACAUUGGGACUGAGAAACGGCCCAGACUCCUACGGGAGGCAGCAGUGGGGAAUCUUGCGCAAUGGCCGAAAGGCUGACGCAGCGACGCCGCGUGUGGGAGGAAGCCUUUCGGGUGUAACCACUGUUGCCGGGACGAACAGCUCCUUCGUGGAGCCUGACGGUACCGGGUGAGGAAGCACCGGCUAACUCCGUGCCAGCCGCCGCUGU
rnacentral:rRNA from 1 species